AGUGAACGCUGGCGGUAGGCCUAACACAUGCAAGUCGAACGGCAGCACAGUAAGAGCUUGCUCUUACGGGUGGCGAGUGGCGGACGGGUGAGGAAUACAUCGGAAUCUACUUUUUCGUGGGGGAUAACGUAGGGAAACUUACGCUAAUACCGCAUACGACCUACGGGUGAAAGCAGGGGAUCUUCGGACCUUGCGCGAUUGAAUGAGCCGAUGUCGGAUUAGCUAGUUGGCGGGGUAAAGGCCCACCAAGGCGACGAUCCGUAGCUGGUCUGAGAGGAUGAUCAGCCACAAUGGAACUGAGACACGGUCCAGACUCCUACGGGAGGCAGCAGUGGGGAAUAUUGGACAAUGGGCGCAAGCCUGAUCCAGCCAUACCGCGUGGGUGAAGAAGGCCUUCGGGCUGUAAAGCCCUUUUGUUGGGAAAGAAAAGCAGCAGGUUAAUACCCCGCUGUUCUGACGGUACCCAAAGAAUAAGCACCGGCUAACUUCGUG
rnacentral:rRNA from 1 species